GCGAGGCCAUGGGGGAAAAAGUCUAACUGGCGGAACUCCUGGGAACUGGGGCGAUGGGCUCUUAGUAUCGGAGGAUUGGAGCCAUCUGAUUUUUACCUGAAAUUCCUUAGUCUCUCCUGUGUUGGGGAAAUGAGACCGGGACUUGCUGUGUUGCCCAGGCUGGUCUUGAACUCCUGGUCUUAAGCAAUCAUACUGCUUUGGCCACCCAAAGCACUGGGAUUACAGGCGUGAACCACCACACCCAGCUCUUAAAACCACAGUAUUUCUAGCACCCUGGGAUCCCUACAUUUCACCUGCCCUGGGCCCAUACAUCCUCUAAGUCUGCUCCGACCGUCCUUAACUCUGCCCUCCUAGCCCCGCAGCAGUUCCCGAGACCUUGUGCCUCCUUCCCCGACGCCGCCUGCUCACCGGUGCCCUCGGGCAGGCUCAGGAUGUCCUCGCCCUGCACCCAGCGGUAGCACGGGAAGGCCACCUCCGCGCAGGCUCCAGGGCCCUGCACCGUGAUGCGGUCGCAGAACCACGCGUCGUCCACCAGCCAGUGGUGCUUGCGCAGCCUCACGAACUGCAGGAGCCCCAAGUCCUCUGCAACGUCAUGAUCAAACUCCUCCUCCUGUGCAGGCCGGACCCAGGCCAGACUUAGUAGGAGGGACCCGACUGAGGCCGUUUCGAGGACAGAGCCGCGCUCCUGUGCAACCUCAGUUUCUCAGGGCCUCCAAAGACAGCAUCGCCUCGUUCCCGCCCCCGCACAACCUGCUCUUUGGGUCUCAGACGCCCGGAGUCGGGUGGAGGACGAGGGCCCGCAGCGCCUGGAGCUGAUGCUGGAGCAGCAUCGCCCACGUGGGUCCCAUUAACUGAGCUCUCCCCGCGCCGGUUCUUGGAGGAGCUUCACGUCUGACCUCUGGCCUCAUACUUACAUUGGCUCUGGGUCACUGGGAGAAGGAGCUGGGGGCUGCCGGGACCAGGGGCGGGAAAGGGAGAUGGGGUUGAGCCCAGCCCGGGAUCCCAGCUGCGGACCCUGUCCCUAAUCUUGCCCACCUCGUCCCAGCUUCGUGGAAGUCCCAGUCCGCGAGGUCGCGCUGUCACCUCGCCCCCAGCCUCCCGCCCUCCCGCCGCGAGCCCAGCUCGGCCCGGGCCUGGGCCCGGGGUCCCCGCUGCCCUAGCUCCCCUCGCUCCCCGCGCUGAC
rnacentral:lncRNA from 1 species